rnacentral:tRNA from 1 species
AGUGAGGUGGCCGAGCGGUCGAAGGCGCACGCCUGGAAAGCGUGUAAACGGAAACGUUUCGAGGGUUCGAAUCCCUUCCUCACUA